rnacentral:miRNA from 1 species
GCGGAGGGAGCGAGCGAGCCGG